ACGGGUGAGUAACGCGUGGGAAUCUACCCAUCCCUACGGAAUAACGCAUGGAAACGUGUGCUAAUACCGUAUACGCCCUACGGGGGAAAGAUUUAUCGGGGAUGGAUGAGCCCGCGUUGGAUUAGCUAGUUGGUGGGGUAAAGGCCUACCAAGGCGACGAUCCAUAGCUGGUCUGAGAGGAUGAUCAGCCACAUUGGGACUGAGACACGGCCCAAACUCCUACGGGAGGCAGCAGUGGGGAAUAUUGGACAAUGGGCGCAAGCCUGAUCCAGCCAUGCCGCGUGAGUGAUGAAGGCCUUAGGGUUGUAAAGCUCUUUCACCGGAGAAGAUAAUGACGGUAUCCGGAGAAGAAGCCCCGGCUAACUUCGUGCCAGCAGCCGCGGUAAUACGAAGGGGGCUAGCGUUGUUCGGAAUUACUGGGCGUAAAGCGCACGUAGGCGGAUCGAUCAGUCAGGGGUGAAAUCCCAGAGCUCAACUCUGGAACUGCCUUUGAUACUGUCGAUCUGGAGUAUGGAAGAGGUGAGUGGAAUUCCGAGUGUAGAGGUGAAAUUCGUAGA
rnacentral:rRNA from 1 species